GAUGCCGGAGGGUUUGAAGCCGCGCCGCGAGGGAGCGAGGUCGCAGUGACAGCGGCGGGCGAUCGGACCCAGGCUGCCCCGCCGUACCCGCCUGCGUCCCGCGCUCCCGCCCCAGCAUGACAGCCCCGGCGGGUCCGCGCGGCUCAGAGACCGAGCGGCUUCUGACCCCCAACCCCGGGUAUGGGACCCAGGCGGGGCCUUCGCCGGCCCCUCCGACACCCCCAGAAGAGGAAGACCUUCGCCGUCGUCUCAAAUACUUUUUCAUGAGUCCCUGCGACAAGUUUCGAGCCAAGGGCCGCAAGCCCUGCAAGCUGAUGCUGCAAGUGGUCAAGAUCCUGGUGGUCACGGUGCAGGUGAGGCCAGCCAAGCAGGGGCCCCAGCCGAAGGCCACCUGUGGCUGCUGUGCUCCUUGAAGAGAGUCUUAAAGCAGCACUUUGAGAGGCCGAGGCCGGUGGAUCGCUUGAGGCUGGGAGUUCAAGACCAGUCUGGCCAGCAUGGUGAAACCCCAUCUCUACUAAAAAUACAAAAAAAUUAGCCGUGCGUGGUGGCGGGUGCCUUUAAUCCCAGCUACUUGGCAGGCUGAGGCAGGAGAAUCGCUUGAAUUGGGAGGCGGAGGUUGCCGUGAGCUGAAAUCAUGCCACUGCACUCCAGCCUGGGCAACAGAGCAAGACUGUCUCAAAAAAAAAAGAAGCCGACUCUGAGGCUCAGAGAGGUUAGGAGACUUGCCCAAAGUCACACAGCAAUAGAACAUUGGGAGCUGGGAUUUGAACCCAGGCAGUCUGACACCAUGUUGACCCAAUGGCUGCACAGAUAGUUCUCUCUCCCCCAUGCCAGACCCUGUGCUGGGCUCUGGGAACCCCAAGAUGAAUCAGACCCAGCCACUGCCCUAAGUGCUUACUUCAUGUUUUGGGCUGACUUUAGCAUGUCACCAUGCCUCUAAUUUUCCCUCUGAAAAGGGACCCAAUUGUCCAGGCAUGGUGGCUCAUGCCUGUAAUGCCAGCACUUUGGGAGGCUGAGUUGGGUGGAUCAUUUGAGGCCAGGAGUUUGAGACCAGCCUGGCCAACAUUGCAAAACCCCGUCUCUACUAAAAAUACAAAAAUUAGCUGGGUUUGGUGGCAGGUGCCUGUAACUCAGCUACUCAGGAGGCUGAGACAGGAGAAUUGCUUGAACCCAGGGG
rnacentral:sRNA from 1 species